rnacentral:rRNA from 1 species
UACAGAGGGUGCAAGCGUUGUUCGGAAUUACUGGGCGUAAAGCGCGUGUAGGCGGCUUGAUCAGUCAGAUGUGAAAUCCCUCGGCUCAACCGAGGAACUGCAUCUGAUACUGUCAGGCUAGAGUGUCGGAGGGGAUGGCGGAAUUCCUGGUGUAGAGGUGAAAUUCGUAGAUAUCAGGAGGAACAUCCGUGGCGAAGGCGGCCAUCUGGAAGACAACUGACGCUGAGACGCGAAAGCGUGGGUAGCAAACAGG